rnacentral:rRNA from 1 species
GAUGAACGCUAGCUACCCGUUUAACACAUGCAAGUCGAGGGGCAUCAGGAAGAAAGCUUCCUUUCUUUGCUGGCGACCGGCGCACGGGUGAGUAACACGUAUCCAACCUGCCCUUUACUCGGGGAUAGCCUUUCGAAAGAAAGAUUAAUACCCGAUGGCAUAAUGAUUCCGCAUGGUUUCAUUAUUAAAGGAUUCCGGUAAAGGAUGGGGAUGCGUUCCAUUAGGUUGUUGGUGAGGUAACGGCUCACCAAGCCUUCGAUGGAUAGGGGUUCUGAGAGGAAGGUCCCCCACAUUGGAACUGAGACACGGUCCAAACUCCUACGGGAGGCAGCAGUGAGGAAUAUUGGUCAAUGGGCGCUAGCCUGAACCAGCCAAGUAGCGUGAAGGAUGAAGGCUCUAUGGGUCGUAAACUUCUUUUAUAUAAGAAUAAAGUGCAGUAUGUAUACUGUUUUGUAUGUAUUAUAUGAAUAAGGAUCGGCUAACUCCGUGCCAGCAGCCGCGGUAAUACGGAGGAUCCGAGCGUUAUCCGGAUUUAUUGGGUUUAAAGGGAGCGUAGGUGGACUGGUAAGUCAGUUGUGAAAGUUUGCGGCUCAACCGUAAAAUUGCAGUUGAUACUGUCAGUCUUGAGUACAGUAGAGGUGGGCGGAAUUCGUGGUGUAGCGGUGAAAUGCUUAGAUAUCACGAAGAACUCCGAUUGCGAAGGCAGCUCACUGGACUGCAACUGACACUGAUGCUCGAAAGUGUGGGUAUCAAACAGG